rnacentral:tRNA from 1 species
GCCCUGGGGGCUCAGUGGGUUGAGCGUCUGACUUUGGCUCAGGUCAUGAUCUCACAGCUCGUGGGUUCCAGCCCCGCGUCGGGCU